rnacentral:rRNA from 1 species
GACGAACCGAGCGACCGUUGUUCGGAAUCACUGGGCUUAAAGGGCGCGUAGGCGGGUGCUCAAGUCUGUGGUGAAAUCCUCCGGCUCAACCGGAGAACUGCCAUGGAUACUGGGUGCCUCGAGGGUGAUAGGGGUAUGCGGAACUAUCGGUGGAGCGGUGAAAUGCGUUGAUAUCGAUAGGAACUCCGGUGGCGAAGGCGGCAUACUGGAUCACUUCUGACGCUGAGGCGCGAAAGCCAGGGGAGCGAACGGG